rnacentral:rRNA from 1 species
GGUUAAGCGACUAAGCGUACACGGUGGAUGCCCUGGCAGUCAGAGGCGAUGAAGGACGUGCUAAUCUGCGAAAAGCGCCGGCGAGGUGAUAUGAACCUUUGACCCGGCGAUGUCCGAAUGGGGAAACCCAGUGCAAUUCGUUGCACUAUCGUUAACUGAAUACAUAGGUUAACGAGGCGAACCGGGGGAACUGAAACAUCUAAGUACCCCGAGGAAAAGAAAUCAACCGAGAUUCCCCCAGUAGCGGCGAGCGAACGGGGAGCAGCCCAGAGUCUGAAUCAGCUUGUGUGUUAGUGGAAGCGUCUGGAAAGUCGCACGGUACAGGGUGACAGUCCCGUACACGAAAGCACACAGGCUGUGAACUCGAAGAGUAGGGCGGGACACGUGGUAUCCUGUCUGAAUAUGGGGGGACCAUCCUCCAAGGCUAAAUACUCCUGACUGACCGAUAGUGAACCAGUACCGUGAGGGAAAGGCGAAAAGAACCCCGGCGAGGGGAGUGAAAAAGAACCUGAAACCGUGUACGUACAAGCAGUGGGAGCACCNNNNNNGGGAAAGGCGAAAAGAACCCCGGCGAGGGGAGUGAAAAAGAACCUGAAACCGUGUACGUACAAGCAGUGGGAGCACCCUUGUGGUGUGACUGCGUACCUUUUGUAUAAUGGGUCAGCGACUUAUAUUCUGUAGCAAGGUUAACCGUAUAGGGGAGCCGAAGGGAAACCGAGUCUUAACUGGGCGUUAAGUUGCAGGGUAUAGACCCGAAACCCGGUGAUCUAGCCAUGGGCAGGUUGAAGGUUGGGUAACACUAACUGGAGGACCGAACCGACUAAUGUUGAAAAAUUAGCGGAUGACUUGUGGCUGGGGGUGAAAGGCCAAUCAAACCGGGAGAUAGCUGGUUCUCCCCGAAAGCUAUUUAGGUAGCGCCUCGUGAACUCAUCUUCGGGGGUAGAGCACUGUUUCGGCUAGGGGGCCAUCCCGGCUUACCAACCCGAUGCAAACUACGAAUACCGAAGAAUGUUAUCACGGGAGACACACGGCGGGUGCUAACGUCCGUCGUGAAGAGGGAAACAACCCAGACCGCCAGCUAAGGUCCCAAAGUCAUGGUUAAGUGGGAAACGAUGUGGGAAGGCACAGACAGCCAGGAUGUUGGCUUAGAAGCAGCCAUCAUUUAAAGAAAGCGUAAUAGCUCACUGGUCGAGUCGGCCUGCGCGGAAGAUGUAACGGGGCUAAACCAUGCACCGAAGCUGCGGCAGCGACGCUUAGGCGUUGUUGGGUAGGGGAGCGUUCUGUAAGCCGUUGAAGGUGUCCUGUGAGGGGUGCUGGAGGUAUCAGAAGUGCGAAUGCUGACAUAAGUAACGAUAAAGCGGGUGAAAAGCCCGCUCGCCGGAAGACCAAGGGUUCCUGUCCAACGUUAAUCGGGGCAGGGUGAGUCGACCCCUAAGGCGAGGCCGAAAGGCGUAGUCGAUGGGAAACAGGUUAAUAUUCCUGUACUUGGUGUUACUGCGAAGGGGGGACGGAGAAGGCUAUGUUAGCCGGGCGACGGUUGUCCCGGUUUAAGCAUGUAGGCGGAGGUUCCAGGUAAAUCCGGUACCUUUUAACGCUGAGGUGUGAUGACGAGGCACUACGGUGCUGAAGUAACAAAUGCCCUGCUUCCAGGAAAAGCCUCUAAGCAUCAGGUAACAUCAAAUCGUACCCCAAACCGACACAGGUGGUCAGGUAGAGAAUACCAAGGCGCUUGAGAGAACUCGGGUGAAGGAACUAGGCAAAAUGGUGCCGUAACUUCGGGAGAAGGCACGCUGAUAUGUAGGUGAAGCCCCUGCGGGUGGAGCUGAAAUCAGUCGAAGAUACCAGCUGGCUGCAACUGUUUAUUAAAAACACAGCACUGUGCAAACACGAAAGUGGACGUAUACGGUGUGACGCCUGCCCGGUGCCGGAAGGUUAAUUGAUGGGGUUAGCGGCAACGCGAAGCUCUUGAUCGAAGCCCCGGUAAACGGCGGCCGUAACUAUAACGGUCCUAAGGUAGCGAAAUUCCUUGUCGGGUAAGUUCCGACCUGCACGAAUGGCGUAAUGAUGGCCAGGCUGUCUCCACCCGAGACUCAGUGAAAUUGAACUCGCUGUGAAGAUGCAGUGUACCCGCGGCAAGACGGAAAGACCCCGUGAACCUUUACUAUAGCUUGACACUGAACACUGGUCCUUGAUGUGUAGGAUAGGUGGGAGGCUUUGAAGCGUGGACGCCAGUCUGCGUGGAGCCGACCUUGAAAUACCACCCUUUAAUGGCUGGUGUUCUAACGUAGACCCGUAAUCCGGGUUGCGGACAGUGUCUGGUGGGUAGUUUGACUGGGGCGGUCUCCUCCCAAAGAGUAACGGAGGAGCACGAAGGUUAGCUAAUCCUGGUCGGACAUCAGGAGGUUAGUGCAAUGGCAUAAGCUAGCUUGACUGCGAGAGUGACGGCUCGAGCAGGUGCGAAAGCAGGUCAUAGUGAUCCGGUGGUUCUGAAUGGAAGGGCCAUCGCUCAACGGAUAAAAGGUACUCCGGGGAUAACAGGCUGAUACCGCCCAAGAGUUCAUAUCGACGGCGGUGUUUGGCACCUCGAUGUCGGCUCAUCACAUCCUGGGGCUGAAGUAGGUCCCAAGGGUAUGGCUGUUCGCCAUUUAAAGUGGUACGCGAGCUGGGUUUAGAACGUCGUGAGACAGUUCGGUCCCUAUCUGCCGUGGGCGCUGGAGAAUUGAGGGGGGCUGCUCCUAGUACGAGAGGACCGGAGUGGACGCAUCACUGGUGUUCGGGUUGUCAUGCCAAUGGCACUGCCCGGUAGCUAAAUGCGGAAAAGAUAAGUGCUGAAAGCAUCUAAGCACGAAACUUGCCCCGAGAUGAGUUCUCCCUGACCCUUUAAGGGUCCUGAAGGAACGUUGAAGACUACGACGUUGAUAGGUCGGGUGUGUAAGCGCAGCGAUGCGUUGAGCUAACCGAUACUAAUGAACCGUGAGGCUUAACCUU